rnacentral:rRNA from 1 species
AGGGAGCUUGCUCCCGGAUGUUAGCGGCGGACGGGUGAGUAACACGUGGGUAACCUGCCUGUAAGACUGGGAUAACUCCGGGAAACCGGAGCUAAUACCGGAUAGUUCCUUGAACCGCAUGGUUCAAGGAUGAAAGACGGUUUCGGCUGUCACUUACAGAUGGACCCGCGGCGCAUUAGCUAGUUGGUGGGGUAAUGGCUCACCAAGGCGACGAUGCGUAGCCGACCUGAGAGGGUGAUCGGCCACACUGGGACUGAGACACGGCCCAGACUCCUACGGGAGGCAGCAGUAGGGAAUCUUCCGCAAUGGACGAAAGUCUGACGGAGCAACGCCGCGUGAGUGAUGAAGGUUUUCGGAUCGUAAAGCUCUGUUGUUAGGGAAGAACAAGUGCGAGAGUAACUGCUCGCACCUUGACGGUACCUAACCAGAAAGCCACGGCUAACUACGUGCCAGCAGCCGCGGUAAUACGUAGGUGGCAAGCGUUGUCCGGAAUUAUUGGGCGUAAAGGGCUCGCAGGCGGUUUCUUAAGUCUGAUGUGAAAGCCCCCGGCUCAACCGGGGAGGGUCAUUGGAAACUGGGAAACUUGAGUGCAGAAGAGGAGAGUGGAAUUCCACGUGUAGCGGUGAAAUGCGUAGAGAUGUGGAGGAACACCAGUGGCGAAGGCGACUCUCUGGUCUGUAACUGACGCUGAGGAGCGAAAGCGUGGGGAGCGAACAGGAUUAGAUACCCUGGUAGUCCACGCCGUAAACGAUGAGUG